CUCGCCUACAUGAAGCUGGAGUUACUAGUAACCGCAGAUCAGAAUGCUGCGGUGAAUGCGUUCCCGGGUCUUGUACACACCGCCCGUCACACCACGGAAGUUGGGGGCGCCCGAAGCCACUUAGCUAACCCUUUUGGGAAGCGAGUGUCGAAGGUGAAAUCAAUAACUGGGGUGAAGUCGUAACAAGGUAUC
rnacentral:rRNA from 1 species